rnacentral:rRNA from 1 species
GACGAACGCUGGCGGCGUGCUUAACACAUGCAAGUCGAACGGAAAGGCCCUGCUUUUGUUGGUUGCUCGAGUGCCGAACGGGUGAGUAACACGUGAGUAACCUGCCCUUGACUUUGGGAUAACUUCAGGAAACUGGGGCUAAUACCGGAUAGGAUCUCCUGCUGCAUGGUGGGGGUUGGAAAGUUUCGGCGGUUGGGGAUGGACUCGCGGCUUAUCAGCUUGUUGGUGUGGUAGUGGCUUACCAAGGCUUUGACGGGUAGCCGGCCUGGGAGGGUGACCGGCCACAUUGGGACUGCGAUACGGACCAGACUCCUACGGGAGGCAGCAGUGGGGAAUAUGGCACAGUGGGCGGAAGCCUGAUGCAGCAACGCCGCGUGCGGGAUGACGGCCUUCGGGUUGUAAACCGCUUUCGCAUGUGACGAAGCGUGAGUGACGGUAAUGGGUAAAGAAGCACCGGCUAACUACGUG